GAAACUUAGCAGAAUAUCGGGGAUUCUAGGCAUAUACCGAUGAGGCGUAUACCCAACGGGCUUUAUACUUAUGGGCUUUUUCACGUCAUGAAAGGAAAUAACCAACGUAUGUUUUACAUGUCGAAUCUCGGAUACGUAGUAUUCCGCAGACAUUUUUACGGCGUUAAAGGCAUCACGUUCAAUAAAGUUCGUCAGUUAAUAAUUAUGAUCUAAGGUGUAUACGCGGCUUUAAUAUGUCACAUGACGGCGUUCAAUGUAUUGUCAAACUCUCAAGGAAAUAACAUUUUGGCAACUGGAGAUUCAUACAGCAGUAUCCAGUACCUGUUUAAAGUCUCUAAAUCUUUCAUAACUUAUAUUGUUCCUAAAGUUAGCCAUAGUAGAAGUACUACGUGAACGAAAAUAUAUAAAGAUGGAUCGACCAAAAUGGACCGGUAUUGUGGCCAGCUAGAUCUCCCGAGUUGACCCCCCUUGACUACCAUGUUUAGCGAAGAAUGAAAGAACUGGUAUACAAUGAAGAAAUCCUAACUCGAGAACACCUUAUCCAAAAAAUUAACGCAGCAGCAGAAAUAAUGAAGGCGGAACUGAUUCUAGGCGUAUCCCCUACAGAGGGACGAAGAUGUCGGCGUGAUAUUAGAAACGGUGGUUCUCAUUUCGAGCAUUGUAAAUAUAUAAAAAUAAUUUUUG